GACGAGGGAUCCUAGCGUUGUUCGGAAUCAUUGGGCGUAAAGCGGGUGCAGGUGGCUAUGUAAGUCAGGUGUGAAAGCCUGGGGCUCAACCCCAGAAGUGCAUCUGAUACUGCGUAGCUUGAGUGCUAGAGAGGAUAGUAGAAUUCUUGGUGUAGUGGUGAAAUACGUAGAUAUCAAGAGGAAUACCGGUGGCGAAGGCGGCUAUCUGGCUAGACACUGACACUCAGACCCGAAAGUGCGGGGAUCAAACAGG
rnacentral:rRNA from 1 species